rnacentral:lncRNA from 1 species
UCUUCUUCUCCGCCCCCCCCCCCUCCGCUCUUCCUCACGAGCACCUAGUUAGAAAGAGGAAGGAGGCGGGCUGCCGGUGCGGGGCUGGAGCUGUGAGCUCGCUCUCGCCGGGACGCGGAGCAAAAGGAGGAGGAACGUGGAGGGGCGCGCGGGAGGCUGGGGCGAAGCGCCGGCUGCUGCUGCUGCUGCUGCUCCCGCGGCCGCCAGCCUCUUCUCCUGGCUUCUCUGGACGUGGACGAGUUGUUGUUGUCACACGGUACAGGGAAAGGGGCGGAGCUCCGGCAACUUGAAAUGCCCCUUUGAAGCGCGCCCCAGCCUCUCCCGCACCCGCGCGGCGGCGGGCAUUAGCCUCAAUUAUCCAACCAGGAAGCCAAGAGCCAAAGGGAGAGGGAAAGCGGAGAUGCGCGGGGAGAUCUCUCCUCCUCCUCCUCUCCAGAAACCGUUAGAUUGCAUGUUUCACGUUUCAUCCCAUCAGAGGAAGAAUGGCAGAUGAAGUUGAUGGACUACAUGGAAUUGGUGGAAAUGACUGGCAGAAUCCGAGACCAGGGAGAAGAGUCGGUGGAAGAAGACUGGAAAAAGUUUAAAGACUAUUUACAGAAAUACUGUAAAAUUAAUGAAUGUUAGAAAAAUGUUGGAAUGAAGUUAUAUGGCUUUAGUAGAAAUGUUAUAAGGAAUUAAGUAUAGAUAGAUUAAUAGAGUAUUAAAGGGAAAAAUAAGGUUAGAAUGUGUUAAGAUAAUUAUAGGAUAGAAAACAGAGGAAGAUGGAAAGGAAUUGCCGAAACAAUUAAUAGAAGUGGAAUACAAAAAGGGAGGUGUGAGGAGGUUGUGGAAAUAAGUGAAUGAAAGAUAAGAUAUUGAAAUUGGAUUGUGUUUUGAAUGGUUUUUGUUUUGUUUUGUUAGUUGUUUGUGUUAGUGUUUUGUAGUGUUUUUUGUAUUGUAUUGUUGUAUUGUUGUUGUUUUUUGGUUUUCUGUAGUGUUGUGUUUAAACUGUUGAAAAAUUAAUAAAUAUAUUUUUUUAAAAAAAGGAAUAAGCACUAAAGUCUCCUGCUUGCUAUAGUCCUGAUCCAGAUUGGAGCUC